rnacentral:rRNA from 1 species
UGCGCAGGUGGUUUCGUAAGUCAGAUGUGAAAGCCCCGGGCUUAACCUGGGAAUGGCAUUUGAGACUGCGAAGCUAGAGUACGGCAGAGGGAGGUGGAAUUCCACGUGUAGCAGUGAAAUGCGUAGAUAUGUGGAGGAACACCGAUGGCGAAGGCAGCCUCCUGGGCCAGUACUGACGCUCAUGCACGAAAGCGUGGGGAGCAAACAGGAUUAGAUACCCUGGUAGUCCACGCCCUAAACGAUGUCAACUAGUUGUUGGGAAAGGUGACUUUCUCGGUAACGCAGCUAACGCGUGAAGUUGACCGCCUGGGGAGUACGGUCGCAAGAUUAAA